UACAAUUCUUUGAAAUAAAUUAUAGACUUAGAAGAACUAGGAAGAGAGAGGGAGGCGCUGAAAACCCUUAUGCAAGAAAUUUUGAAGGUAGCUUUUGAGCUUCUUUAGUGAAAUAAUAGUAGCUAAAGACGGUUUGUCUGAAUCGUUAUUUAAAUUAAGAGUCCAUUAAUGCAGUAAUUCUGUAUAUGUGGAAAUAAAGGUGGUACCGCGAGCUUUCGUCCUUUUG
rnacentral:misc_RNA from 1 species